AUGCUUUUUGUCAGAGUAUUUUUAUUUUGCUUAAGGAGCAUCCACAUGUCAAAGCCAAAAUCAAGCUUUCAAGGGAAAUCUAAGAAACAGAAGCAAAAGAGAUAAGAAAGCCCUGUGAAGCACUGAUGGUGACAGCCCAUCUGACUUCAGUUCAUCUGAGACCUUCCUAUUGUGGAUUUUUCUCACCUUCACAUAAAAGAUUCUCCUCUUGGAACGGGACACAGGAGGAAUCUAAAUUAGGGCACACCAAACUUCGUGGGUCAGAUUCUCUGGCAUGUGGUGAUGGAUGCUUUGCAGUGGUCCAGUGACAAAAAACACCUCCAGUGUAUCUGGCUCCUGUACAACAAAGACUUUACCUCCCAUCUGUUCACCUGUGCUGUCAUCACAGUUGAUGUCAUCUAACCCAAGCCCACCCCCAUCCAUC